rnacentral:rRNA from 1 species
UACGUAGGGUGCAAGCGUUUAUCCGGAAUUAUUGGGCGUAAAGAGCUCGUAGGCGGUUUGUCGCGUCUGCUGUGAAAACCCGAGGCUCAACCUCGGGCCUGCAGUGGGUACGGGCAGACUAGAGUGCGGUAGGGGAGAUUGGAAUUCCUGGUGUAGCGGUGGAAUGCGCAGAUAUCAGGAGGAACACCGAUGGCGAAGGCAGAUCUCUGGGCCGUAACUGACGCUGAGGAGCGAAAGCAUGGGGAGCGAACAGG